rnacentral:rRNA from 1 species
CCUACGGGUGGCAGCAGUGAGGAAUAUUGGUCAAUGGACGAGAGUCUGAACCAGCCAAGUAGCGUGAAGGAUGACUGCCCUAUGGGUUGUAAACUUCUUUUAUAUGGGAAUAAAAUGUUCCACGUGUGGGAUUUUGUAUGUACCAUAUGAAUAAGGAUCGGCUAACUCCGUGCCAGCAGCCGCGGUAAUACGGAGGAUCCGAGCGUUAUCCGGAUUUAUUGGGUUUAAAGGGAGCGUAGGUGGAUUGUUAAGUCAGUUGUGAAAGUUUGCGGCUCAACCGUAAAAUUGCAGUUGAUACUGGCAGUCUUGAGUACAGUAGAGGUAGGCGGAAUGCGUGGUGUAGCGGUGAAAUGCUUAGAUAUCACGAAGAACUCCGAUUGCGAAGGCAGUUCACUGGACUGCAACUGACACUGAGGCUCGAAAGUGUGGGUAUCAAACAGGAUUAGAUACCCUUGUAGUC